rnacentral:rRNA from 1 species
AACGAACGCUGGCGGCAUGCCUAACACAUGCAAGUCGAACGAGACCUUCGGGUCUAGUAGCGCACGGGUGCGUAACGCGUGGGAACCUGCCCUUAGGUUCGGAAUAACUCCCCGAAAGGGGUGCUAAUACCGGAUAAUGUCUUCGGACCAAAGAUUUAUCGCCUUUGGAUGGGCCCGCGUUGGAUUAGCUAGUUGGUAGGGUAAAAGCCUACCAAGGCGACGAUCCAUAGCUGGUCUGAGAGGAUGAUCAGCCACACUGGGACUGAGACACGGCCCAGACUCCUACGGGAGGCAGCAGUGGGGAAUAUUGGACAAUGGGCGAAAGCCUGAUCCAGCAAUGCCGCGUGAGUGAUGAAGGCCUUAGGGUUGUAAAGCUCUUUUACCCGGGAUGAUAAUGACAGUACCGGGAGAAUAAGCUCCGGCUAACUCCGUG